UACGUAGGUGGCAAGCGUUGUCCGGAUUUACUGGGCGUAAAGAGCGCGCAGGCGGUCGUGCAAGUCGCGUGUGAAAGCCCCCCGGCUCAACUGGGGAGGGUCACGCGAUACUGCUCGACUCGAAGGCAGGAGAGGGAAGUGGAAUUCCCGGUGUAGUGGUGAAAUGCGUAGAUAUCGGGGAGGAACACCAGUGGCGAAGGCGACUUCCUGGCCUGUUCUUGACGCUGAGGCGCGAAAGCUAGGGUAGCAAACGGG
rnacentral:rRNA from 1 species